AGCAGCCGCGGUAGUUCCAGCUCCAAUAGCGUAUAUUAAAGUUGUUGCAGUUAAAAAGCUCGUAGUUGAAUUUCGGGAUCAAUAUGUUGGUCGUGCCUUGGUACGUACUGGCGUCAUUGAUUUCUACCUUCUGAAGAACCUCGAUGUCAUUAAUUUGGUGUCUUGGGGAAUCAGGACUGUUACUUUGAAAAAAUUAGAGUGUUUAAAGCAAGCUCACGCUUGAAUACAUUAACAUGGAAUAAUGAAAUAGGACGUUUGAUUCUAUUUUGUUGGUUUCUAGGAUCGACGUAAUGAUUAAUAGGGAUAGUUGGGGGCAUUAGUAUUCAAUUGUCAGAGGUGAAAUUCUUGGAUUAUUGAAGACUAACUACUGCGAAAGCAUUUGCCAAGGAUGUUUUCAUUAAUCAAGAACGAAAGUUAGGGGAUCGAAGACGAUCAGAUACCGUCGUAGUCUUAACCAUAAACUAUGCCGACUAGGGAUCGGAUGAUGUUAAUUUUUUAAUGACUCAUUCGGCGCCUUACG
rnacentral:misc_RNA from 1 species